UUGGAAGAAAAUUAGAAAAACUUAGUAUGCCUGUCAACACACAGUGAUGUUCUGCCACGGAUGGCAGAACAAGGCAGCAUCGAGUCACGGAUGACUCGUUGCUGCCGCUCACGUCCCUCCGAGAAAAACAACAUCAGGCAUACUUAGCUUUUCUUAUUUUCGCAC
rnacentral:ncRNA from 1 species